rnacentral:snRNA from 1 species
GUACUCCUUUAGGCGGUACAUAAACUAAAAUUGUAACGAUACAGAAACGAUUAGCAUGGCCCCUGCGCAAGAAAAACACGCAAAAUCGUGAUGCGUCCCAUAUUUUU